GGCCGGUUAGCUCAGCUGGUUAGAGCAUGGUGCUGGUAACCCCAAGGCCCAGGGUUCGAUCCCUGAACCAGCCA